rnacentral:rRNA from 2 species
UUAAGUUAUUAAGGGCGCACGGUGGAUGCCUUGGCACUAGAAGCCGAUGAAGGACGUUACUAACGACGAUAUGCUUUGGGGAGCUGUAAGUAAGCUUUGAUCCAGAGAUUUCCGAAUGGGGAAACCCAGCAUGAGUUAUGUCAUGUUAUCGAUAUGUGAAUACAUAGCAUAUCAGAAGGCACACCCGGAGAACUGAAACAUCUUAGUACCCGGAGGAAGAGAAAGAAAAUUCGAUUCCCUUAGUAGCGGCGAGCGAAACGGGAAGAGCCCAAACCAAAAAGCUUGCUUGUUGGGGUUGUAGGACACUCUAUACGGAGUUACAAAGGACGACAUUAGACGAAUCAUCUGGAAAGAUGAAUCAAAGAAGGUAAUAAUCCUGUAGUCGAAAAUGUUGUCUCUCUUGAGUGGAUCCUGAGUACGACGGAGCACGUGAAAUUCCGUCGGAAUCUGGGAGGACCAUCUCCUAAGGCUAAAUACUCUCUAGUGACCGAUAGUGAACCAGUACCGUGAGGGAAAGGUGAAAAGCACCCCGGAAGGAGAGUGAAAUAGAACCUGAAACCGUGUGCUUACAAGUAGUCAGAGCCCGUUAAUGGGUGAUGGCGUGCCUUUUGUAGAAUGAACCGGCGAGUUACGAUUUGAUGCAAGGUUAAGCAGUAAAUGUGGAGCCGUAGCGAAAGCGAGUCUGAAUAGGGCGUUUAGUAUUUGGUCGUAGACCCGAAACCAGGUGAUCUACCCUUGGUCAGGUUGAAGUUCAGGUAACACUGAAUGGAGGACCGAACCGACUUACGUUGAAAAGUGAGCGGAUGAACUGAGGGUAGCGGAGAAAUUCCAAUCGAACCUGGAGAUAGCUGGUUCUCUCCGAAAUAGCUUUAGGGAUAGCCUCAAGUGAUGAUUAUUGGAGGUAGAGCACUGUUUGGACGAGGGGCCCCUCUCGGGUUACCGAAUUCAGACAAACUCCGAAUGCCAAUUAAUUUAACUUGGGAGUCAGAACAUGGGUGAUAAGGUCCGUGUUCGAAAGGGAAACAGCCCAGACCACCAGCUAAGGUCCCAAAAUAUAUGUUAAGUGGAAAAGGAUGUGGCGUUGCCCAGACAACUAGGAUGUUGGCUUAGAAGCAGCCAUCAUUUAAAGAGUGCGUAAUAGCUCACUAGUCGAGUGACACUGCGCCGAAAAUGUACCGGGGCUAAACAUAUUACCGAAGCUGUGGAUUGUCCUUUGGACAAUGGUAGGAGAGCGUUCUAAGGGCGUUGAAGCAUGAUCGUAAGGACAUGUGGAGCGCUUAGAAGUGAGAAUGCCGGUGUGAGUAGCGAAAGACGGGUGAGAAUCCCGUCCACCGAUUGACUAAGGUUUCCAGAGGAAGGCUCGUCCGCUCUGGGUUAGUCGGGUCCUAAGCUGAGGCCGACAGGCGUAGGCGAUGGAUAACAGGUUGAUAUUCCUGUACCACCUAUAAUCGUUUUAAUCGAUGGGGGGACGCAGUAGGAUAGGCGAAGCGUGCGAUUGGAUUGCACGUCUAAGCAGUAAGGCUGAGUAUUAGGCAAAUCCGGUACUCGUUAAGGCUGAGCUGUGAUGGGGAGAAGACAUUGAGUCUUCGAGUCGUUGAUUUCACACUGCCGAGAAAAGCCUCUAGAUAGAAAAUAGGUGCCCGUACCGCAAACCGACACAGGUAGUCAAGAUGAGAAUUCUAAGGUGAGCGAGCGAACUCUCGUUAAGGAACUCGGCAAAAUGACCCCGUAACUUCGGGAGAAGGGGUGCUCUUUAGGGUUAACGCCCAGAAGAGCCGCAGUGAAUAGGCCCAAGCGACUGUUUAUCAAAAACACAGGUCUCUGCUAAACCGUAAGGUGAUGUAUAGGGGCUGACGCCUGCCCGGUGCUGGAAGGUUAAGAGGAGUGGUUAGCUUCUGCGAAGCUACGAAUCGAAGCCCCAGUAAACGGCGGCCGUAACUAUAACGGUCCUAAGGUAGCGAAAUUCCUUGUCGGGUAAGUUCCGACCCGCACGAAAGGCGUAACGAUUUGGGCACUGUCUCAACGAGAGACUCGGUGAAAUCAUAGUACCUGUGAAGAUGCAGGUUACCCGCGACAGGACGGAAAGACCCCGUGGAGCUUUACUGUAGCCUGAUAUUGAAAUUCGGCACAGCUUGUACAGGAUAGGUAGGAGCCUUUGAAACGUGAGCGCUAGCUUACGUGGAGGCGCUGGUGGGAUACUACCCUAGCUGUGUUGGCUUUCUAACCCGCACCACUUAUCGUGGUGGGAGACAGUGUCAAGCGGGCAGUUUGACUGGGGCGGUCGCCUCCUAAAAGGUAACGGAGGCGCUCAAAGGUUCCCUCAGAAUGGUUGGAAAUCAUUCAUAGAGUGUAAAGGCAUAAGGGAGCUUGACUGCGAGACCUACAAGUCGAGCAGGGUCGAAAGACGGACUUAGUGAUCCGGUGGUUCCGCAUGGAAGGGCCAUCGCUCAACGGAUAAAAGCUACCCCGGGGAUAACAGGCUUAUCUCCCCCAAGAGUUCACAUCGACGGGGAGGUUUGGCACCUCGAUGUCGGCUCAUCGCAUCCUGGGGCUGUAGUCGGUCCCAAGGGUUGGGCUGUUCGCCCAUUAAAGCGGUACGCGAGCUGGGUUCAGAACGUCGUGAGACAGUUCGGUCCCUAUCCGUCGUGGGCGUAGGAAAUUUGAGAGGAGCUGUCCUUAGUACGAGAGGACCGGGAUGGACAUACCUCUGGUGUACCAGUUGUCGUGCCAACGGCAUAGCUGGGUAGCUAUGUGUGGACGGGAUAAGUGCUGAAAGCAUCUAAGCAUGAAGCCCCCCUCAAGAUGAGAUUUCCCAACUUCGGUUAUAAGAUCCCUCAAAGAUGAUGAGGUUAAUAGGUUCGAGGUGGAAGCAUGGUGACAUGUGGAGCUGACGAAUACUAAUCGAUCGAAGACUUAAUCAA